UUUGUCGUUCGUUGUGAGAAUUUGAUCUCGUGAGUUAUCGUAAUUGUUGUAUUAAGUUACCUACCUAGUUCGUAUGCACUAGGUUACAAGGCUAAAUCAAUAGGCUAAGCUCUGCCUGUAUAAAUCUGCAAUAUAUCAAGGCUUAUCUGUAGACUAAACUUUGGCCGUAUGAAUCUGCAUGAUUAUAAUGUAAUUACAGUAGAUUGGAGUAAGGAUUGGAUCCGGCACUAAA
rnacentral:lncRNA from 1 species